AGUGACCUGUUGUAGAUCUUUAGUUGUUGUGUAUGAUAGCAGUUGCAUUCUUCAAAUUGAUGUUGCAGCUAAAUCCCCAUUAGAACAUGGUGAAGCAAUGGAUGUUGAUGCGAAGAAACUUCUUCAAGUUAUCUUGCAGCCAAUUGGGGACAAGGGAGUUGCAAUAAUUGGUGGCAAUACUAUAAGGGGAUUCAACAAUACUGAUCAGUCAUUUUUGUAGACAUGCCUAAAGGUAAAGGAAGGAUAAGGCCAUAUUGAGGAGAAAGAUCUCGUGGGAGGGGAUGCACACUAAUCCUACAAAUGAAGAAAACUUAACAAAU